UGUCACCAUUAUGGCCUUUUGAUGUGUUUGAAUGACUAACCGUCCUCAGGUCUAGACUCUGUCACCAUUAUGGCCUUUUGAUGUGUUUGAAUGACUGACCGUCCUCAGGUCUAGACGCUGUCACCAUUAUGGCCUUUUGAUGUGUUUGAAUGACUAACCGUCCUCAGGUCUAGACGCUGUCACCAUUAUGGCCUUUUGAUGUGUUUGAAUGACUAACCGUCCUCAGGUCUAGACGCUGUCACCAUUAUGGCCUUUUGAUGUGUUUGAAUGACUAACCGUCCUCAGGUCUAGACUCUGUCACCAUUAUGGCCUUUUGAUGUGUUUGAAUGACUAACCGUCCUCAGGUCAAGACGCUGUCACCAUUAUGGCCUUUUGAUGUGUUUGAAUGACUAACCGUCCUCAGGUCUAGACUCUGUCACCAUUAUGGCCUUUUGAUGUGUUUGAAUGACUAACCGUCCUCAGGUCUAGACUCUGUCACCAUUAUGGCCUUUUGAUGUGUUUGAAUGACUAACCGUCCUCAGGUCUAGACGCUGUCACCAUUAUGGCCUUUUGAUGUGUUUGAAUGACUAACCGUCCUCAGGUCUAGACUCUGUCACCAUUAUGGCCUUUUGAUGUGUUUGAAUGACUAACCGUCCUCAGGUCUAGACGCUGUCACCAUUAUGGCCUUUUGAUGUGUUUGAAUGACUAACCGUCCUCAGGUCUAGACUCUGUCACCAUUAUGGCCUUUUGAUGUGUUUGAAUGACUAACCGUCCUCAGGUCUAGACUCUGUCACCAUUAUGGCCUUUUGAUGUGUUUGAAUGACUAACCGUCCUCAGGUCUAGACUCUGUCACCAUUAUGGCCUUUUGAUGUGUUUGAAUGACUAACCGUCCUCAGGUCUAGACUCUGUCACCAUUAUGGCCUUUUGAUGUGUUUGAAUGACUAACCGUCCUCAGGUCUAGACUCUGUCACCAUUAUGGCCUUUUGAUGUGUUUGAAUGACUAACCGUCCUCAGGUCUAGACUCUGUCACCAUUAUGGCCUUUUGAUGUGUUUGAAUGACUAACCGUCCUCAGGUCUAGACUCUGUCACCAUUAUGGCCUUUUGAUGUGUUUGAAUGACUAACCGUCCUCAGGUCUAGACUCUGUCACCAUUAUGGCCUUUUGAUGUGUUUGAAUGACUAACCGUCCUCAGGUCUAGACUCUGUCACCAUUAUGGCCUUUUGAUGUGUUUGAAUGACUAACCGUCCUCAGGUCUAGACUCUGUCACCAUUAUGGCCUUUUGAUGUGUUUGAAUGACUAACCGUCCUCAGGUCUAGACUCUGUCACCAUUAUGGCCUUUUGAUGUGUUUGAAUGACUAACCGUCCUCAGGUCUAGACUCUGUCACCAUUAUGGCCUUUUGAUGUGUUUGAAUGACUAACCGUCCUCAGGUCUAGACUCUGUCACCAUUAUGGCCUUUUGAUGUGUUUGAAUGACUAACCGUCCUCAGGUCUAGACUCUGUCACCAUUAUGGCCUUUUGAUGUGUUUGAAUGACUAACCGUCCUCAGGUCUAGACUCUGUCACCAUUAUGGCCUUUUGAUGUGUUUGAAUGACUAACCGUCCUCAGGUCUAGACUCUGUCACCAUUAUGGCCUUUUGAUGUGUUUGAAUGACUAACCGUCCUCAGGUCUAGACUCUGUCACCAUUAUGGCCUUUUGAUGUGUUUGAAUGACUAACCGUCCUCAGGUCUAGACUCUGUCACCAUUAUGGCCUUUUGAUGUGUUUGAAUGACUAACCGUCCUCAGGUCUAGACUCUGUCACCAUUAUGGCCUUUUGAUGUGUUUGAAUGACUAACCGUCCUCAGGUCAAGACGCUGUCACCAUUAUGGCCUUUUGAUGUGUUUGAAUGACUAACCGUCCUCAGGUCUAGACUCUGUCACCAUUAUGGCCUUUUGAUGUGUUUGAAUGACUAACCGUCCUCAGGUCAAGACGCUGUCACCAUUAUGGCCUUUUGAUGUGUUUGAAUGACUAACCGUCCUCAGGUCUAGACUCUGUCACCAUUAUGGCCUUUUGAUGUGUUUGAAUGACUAACCGUCCUCAGGUCUAGACUCUGUCACCAUUAUGGCCUUUUGAUGUGUUUGAAUGACUAACCGUCCUCAGGUCUAGACUCUGUCACCAUUAUGGCCUUUUGAUGUGUUUGAAUGACUAACCGUCCUCAGGUCUAGACGCUGUCACCAUUAUGGCCUUUUGAUGUGUUUGAAUGACUAACCGUCCUCAGGUCUAGACUCUGUCACCAUUAUGGCCUUUUGAUGUGUUUGAAUGACUAACCGUCCUCAGGUCUAGACGCUGUCACCAUUAUGGCCUUUUGAUGUGUUUGAAUGACUAACCGUCCUCAGGUCUAGACGCUGUCACCAUUAUGGCCUUUUGAUGUGUUUGAAUGACUAACCGUCCUCAGGUCUAGACGCUGUCACCAUUAUGGCCUUUUGAUGUGUUUGAAUGACUAACCGUCCUCAGGUCUAGACUCUGUCACCAUUAUGGCCUUUUGAUGUGUUUGAAUGACUAACCGUCCUCAGGUCUAGACGCUGUCACCAUUAUGGCCUUUUGAUGUGUUUGAAUGACUAACCGUCCUCAGGUCUAGACGCUGUCACCAUUAUGGCCUUUUGAUGUGUUUGAAUGACUAACCGUCCUCAGGUCUAGACUCUGUCACCAUUAUGGCCUUUUGAUGUGUUUGAAUGACUAACCGUCCUCAGGUCUAGACGCUGUCAGCAGCAGCAAUGGAUAUUUUCCAGGACUCUAUAAUAUGCAGGCUGUUAACAGUACAGUUCUGUAAUGAAUAUCUUUAGCAGAUCCCUUUGCUUCCCUCGGCCCACUCAUUCACAUUUCGUUAUUAAGGGCUUCAGUUAAUAUCGUCUUCAACAACAUUUUAUAUCACAAAACACCUACAUGUUAUUACGAAACAGUGUUAAGUUAACCCCCUUACACACACGCACGUAUGUACAAAUACAUGCUCCCACAAAUGUAGGCAUGCACGUACGCACACAAA